AUCAUUACCGAGUUUACACUCCCAAACCCACCGUGAACCUUACCACAACGUUGCCUCGGCGGGAUGCGUCCCGGCACGCCCAUCGCAGGGCGCCGGAACCAAGGCGGCCCGCCGGGGGACCCAGAACUCACUGUAUCUCCUGCGGCAUGUCUGAGUGGAUUUUACAAAUGAAUCAAAACUUUCAACAACGGAUCUCUUGGUUCUGGCAUCGAUGAAGAACGCAGCGAAAUGCGAUAAGUAAUGUGAAUUGCAGAAUUCAGUGAAUCAUCGAAUCUUUGAACGCACAUUGCGCCCGCCAGUACUCUGGCGGGCAUGCCUGUUCGAGCGUCAUUUCAACCCUCAAGCCCUGCUUGGUGUUGGGGACCGGCUCCCGGGGGCCCGCCUCGCGCGGGCGCCCUGCCGCCCCCUAAAUCGAUCGGCGGCCGCGACGCGGCCCCCCCUGCGCAGUAGCAUACCACCUCGCAGGCGGGAGCACGCCGCGGCCACUGCCGCAAAACGCCCAACUUCUCAAGAGUUGACCUCGAAUCAGGUAGGAAUACCCGCUGAACUUAAGCAUAUCAAUAAGCGGAGGAAAAGAAACCAACAGGGAUUGCCCCAGUAACGGCGAGUGAAGCGGCAACAGCUCAAAUUUGAAAUCUGGCCCCCCGGGGCCCGAGUUGUAAUUUGCAGAGGAUGCUUUUGGCGAGGCGCCUUCCGAGUUCCCUGGAACGGGACGCCAUAGAGGGUGAGAGCCCCGUCUGGUCGGACGCCGAGCCUCUGUAAAGCUCCUUCGACGAGUCGAGUAGUUUGGGAAUGCUGCUCUAAAUGGGAGGUAUAUGUCUUCUAAAGCUAAAUACCGGCCAGAGACCGAUAGCGCACAAGUAGAGUGAUCGAAAGAUGAAAAGCACUUUGAAAAGAGGGUUAAAUAGUACGUGAAAUUGUUGAAAGGGAAGCGCUUGUGACCAGACUUGGGCCCGGCGGAUCACCCAGCGUUCUCGCUGGUGCACUCCGGCGCGGCCCAGGCCAGCAUCAGCUCGUCCCGGGGGACAAAGGCGGCGGGAACGUGGCUCCUCCGGGAGUGUUAUAGCCCACCGCGCAAUGCCCUGGGGCGGGCUGAGGACCGCGCAUCUGCAUGGAUGCUGGCGUAAUGGUCAUCAGCGACCCGUCUUGAA
rnacentral:sRNA from 1 species